rnacentral:rRNA from 1 species
CAAUAGCGUAUAUUAAAGUUGUUGCAGUUAAAAAGCUCGUAGUUGGAUUUCUGGUGGGAGCGAUCGGUCUGGCGCUUAGCGCGAGUACUUGUAUCGUCUCCGGCCAUCCUUGGGGAGAGUCUGUCUGGCAUUAAGUUGUCGGGCAGAGGAUCCUCAUCGUUUACUGUGAAAAAAUUAGAGUGUUCAAAGCAGGCUUAUGCCGUUGAAUAUAUUAGCAUGGAAUAAUAAGAUAGGACUUUGGUACUAUUUUGUUGGUUUGCGCACCAAAGUAAUGAUUAAUAGGGACAGUUGGGGGUAUUCGUAUUCCGUUGUCAGAGGUGAAAUUCUUGGAUUUACGGAAGACGAACUACUGCGAAAGCAUUUACCAAGGAUGUUUUCAUUAA